rnacentral:rRNA from 1 species
UACGUAGGAUGAAAGCGUUGUCCGGAUUUAUUGGGUUUAAAGGGGGCGUAGGCGGCCUAUUAAGUUAGUGGUGAAAACGUUCGGCUUAACCGGUUACCAGCCAUUGAUACUGAUAGACUUGAGUGCGACAGAGGGUGUUUGAAUGUGUGGUGUAGCGGUGAAAUGCUUAGAUAUCACGCAGAACACCAAUUGCGAAGGCAGAUGCCUAUGUCGUAACUGACGCUGAGGCAAGAAAGCGUGGGGAGCAAACAGG